UACGUAGGGGGCUAGCGUUGUCCGGAUUUAUUGGGCGUAAAGAGCUCGUAGGCGGUCUGUCGCGUCGAUCGUGAAAACUUGGGGCUUAACCCUGAGCUUGCGGUCGAUACGGGCAUGACUGGAGUUCGGCAGGGGAGACUGGAAUUCCUGGUGUAGCGGUGAAAUGCGCAGAUAUCAGGAGGAACACCGGUGGCGAAGGCGGGUCUCUGGGCCGAUACUGACGCUGAGGAGCGAAAGCGUGGGGAGCGAACAGG
rnacentral:rRNA from 1 species